CCUACGGGAGGCAGCAGUGAGGAAUAUUGGUCAAUGGCCGAGAGUCUGAACCAGCCAAGUAGCGUGAAGGAUGACUGCCCUAUGGGUUGUAAACUUCUUUUAUAUGGGAAUAAAACGUUCCACGUGUGGGAUUUUGUAUGUACCAUAUGAAUAAGGAUCGGCUAACUCCGUGCCAGCAGCCGCGGUAAUACGGAGGAUCCGAGCGUUAUCCGGAUUUAUUGGGUUUAAAGGGAGCGUAGGUGGAUUGUUAAGUCAGUUGUGAAAGUUUGCGGCUCAACCGUAAAAUUGCAGUUGAAACUGGCAGUCUUGAGUACAGUAGAGGUGGGCGGAAUUCGUGGUGUAGCGGUGAAAUGCUUAGAUAUCACGAAGAACUCCGAUUGCGAAGGCAGUUCACUGGACUGCAACUGACACUGAGGCUCGAAAGUGUGGGUAUCAAACAGGAUUAGAUACCCCAGUAGUC
rnacentral:rRNA from 1 species